GAUGAACGCUAGGCGGGGAGGCCUAAUACAUGCAAGUCGAACGGUAACAGGGGUAGCAAUACCUGCUGACGAGUGGCGCACGGGUGCGUAACGCGUACACAACCUGCCUUAUACUGGGGCAUAACCUUGGGAAACUGAGGCUAAUUCUCCAUAACAUAUCGAAAAGGCAUCUUUUUGAUAUUAAAACUCCGGUGGUAUAAGAUGGGUGUGCGUCCGAUUAGGUAGUUGGUGAGGUAACGGCUCACCAAGCCAACGAUCGGUAGCUGGUCUGAGAGGAUGAUCAGCCACACGGGCACUGAGACACGGGCCCGACUCCGUACGGGAGGCAGCA
rnacentral:rRNA from 1 species